AACGCACAUUGCGCCCCUUGGUAUUCCGGGGGGCAUGCCUGUUCGAGCGUCAUUACACCAAUCAAGCACAGCUUGGCAUUAGGUCCUUCGUCCGCGGUCAAACGCGGGCGGGCCUCAAAACCUUCGGCGGAGUCAAACCGGCUUUGGGCGUAGCAGAAUCUGUCAAAACGUUCAUGUGGUCGGGUGGUCUUCAGCCGCCAAUCUAAUCGUCCCGGACGAUUUAUUUUUCUCAAGGUUGACCUCGGAUCAGGUAGGAAUACCCGCUGAACUUAA
rnacentral:misc_RNA from 1 species